rnacentral:rRNA from 1 species
UCGGGAAUUUUGGGCAAUGGGCGAAAGCCUGACCCAGCAACGCCGCGUGAAGGAUGAAGUAUUUCGGUAUGUAAACUUCGAAAGAAUAGGAAGAAUUAAUGACGGUACUAUUUAUAAGGUCCGGCUAACUACGUGCCAGCAGCCGCGGUAAUACGUAGGGACCAAGCGUUGUUCGGAUUUACUGGGCGUAAAGGGCGCGUAGGCGGUGCUGUAAGUCACUUGUGAAAUCUCUGAGCUUAACUCAGAACGGCCAAGUGAUACUGCAGCACUAGAGUGCGGAAGGGGCAAUCGGAAUUCUUGGUGUAGCGGUGAAAUGCGUAGAUAUCAAGAGGAACACCUGAGGUGAAGACGGGUUGCUGGGCCGACACUGACGCUGAGGCGCGAAAGCCAGGGGAGCAAACGGG